UGACUUCACCAGGAGGUUCUCCCUAACUGGUACUCUUCAGGCUCCGGAGCAGUAGUUCGGAUCCCACAAAGUCCUGGGAGAAGGCGGCGGGCGCGCUGCUAGGGCACUGGUGCAGAGCCAUGGUCAGAGAUAGGACUGGGGUCCAGGAUACCUUCUUUCUUUGGUGCGAUGGUAGAGAGCAAACGGUGGAAGCUUCUCUUAACGUUCGUUCCUGUGAGCUUCGUUAAGAGGGACAGCUUCUGAGCGUUUAGUCAGGGUAUGCCGCGGCGUCCUCCCAAAGAACAGCUACAGAAACAAAGAACAAAGCAAAAC
rnacentral:lncRNA from 1 species